GGGGAUAUGGCGGAAUUGGUAGACGCUACGGACUUAAAAUCCGUCGAAUUUUGAAAUCGUGAGGGUUCGAGUCCCUCUAUCCCCA
rnacentral:tRNA from 4 species